CCGUCGCACGCCUGCUCGCACGCGACCGUGUCGCUCGCCCGGGCGUCACGGGGGGCGGUCGCCUCGGCCCCCGCGCGGUCGCCCGAACGACCGUGUGGUGGUUGGGGGGGGGGGAUCGUCUUCUCCUCCGUCUCCCGAGGACGGUUCGUUUCUCUUUCCCCUUCCGUCGCUCUCCUUGGGUGUGGGAGCCUCGUGCCGUCGCGACCGCGGCCCGCCGUCGCCUGCCGCCGCAGCCCCUUGCCCUCCGCCUUGGCCAAGCCGGAGGGCGGAGGAGGGGGCUCGGCGGCGGCGGCGGUGACCGCGGCGCGGUGACGCACGGUGGGGGUCCCCAUCCUCGGCGCGUCCAUCGGGGACGGCCGGUUGGAGGGGCGGAAGGGCUUUUUCCCGUAAACGCCGCGUUCGGCGCCAGGCCUCUGGCGGCCGGGGGGGCGCUCUCUCCGCCCGAGCAUCCCGACUCCCGCCCCUCCUCUUCGCGCGCCGCGGCGGCGACGUGCGUACGAGGGGAGGGUGUCGCGGUGUGGAGGCGGAGAGGGUCCGGCGCGGCGCCUCUUCCA
rnacentral:misc_RNA from 1 species